rnacentral:tRNA from 1 species
GGGCCCGUAGCUCAGUUGGCUUAGAGCACCGGUUUUGCACUCCGGAGGUCGCAGGUUCGAGCCCUGUCGGGUCCA